rnacentral:rRNA from 1 species
UACGUAGGGGGCAAGCGUUGUCCGGAAUCAUUGGGCGUAAAGAGCUCGUAGGCGGCUUGUUACGUCGACUGUGAAAACCCGCGGCUCAACUGCGGGCCUGCAGUCGAUACGGGCAGGCUAGAGUUCGGUAGGGGAGACUGGAAUUCCUGGUGUAGCGGUGAAAUGCGCAGAUAUCAGGAGGAACACCUGUGGCGAAAGCGGCUCACUGGACCACAACUGACGCUGAGGCGCGAAAGCUAGGGGAGCAAACAGG